rnacentral:misc_RNA from 1 species
CAAAAUUCUCUUCAUCAUCUUCAGGUACAGGUGAAACAUUUAAGUCCAUGGUAACAAUCAUUCAACGUCCACCGCACAACAUUUACCAACAUGAAAACAUUUAAGUGUUUCUUCUAGCAGUAUUUGCAAAUGUAACUUGUUACCUGCAAAGUAACAGAUAUAAGCUGAUUCUUCUAUGUAGCAAGGAAAUUGAGAAGCACACGAUCAAUAGAUCAUAAAAAGUUUAUAAAGCUUCAGAACACAAC